UACGUAGGGUGCGAGCGUUACUCGGAAUUACUGGGCGUAAAGCGUGCGCAGGCGGUUUUGUAAGCCCGGUGUGAAAGCCCCGGGCUUAACCUGGGAAUGGCAUUUGGGACUGCAAGGCUUGAGUGCGGCAGAGGAGACUGGAAUUCCUGGUGUAGCAGUGAAAUGCGUAGAUAUCAGGAGGAAUACCGAUGGCGAAGGCAGGUCUCUGGGCUGACACUGACGCUCAUGCACGAAAGCGUGGGGAGCAAACAGG
rnacentral:rRNA from 1 species